AUUGAACGCUAGCGGGAUGCUUUACACAUGCAAGUCGAACGGCAGCGCGGACUUCGGUCUGGCGGCGAGUGGCGAACGGGUGAGUAAUGUAUCGGAACGUGCCCAGUAGCGGGGGAUAACUACGCGAAAGCGUAGCUAAUACCGCAUACGCCCUACGGGGGAAAGCCGGGGAUCGUAAGACCUUGCACUAUUUGAGCGGCCGAUAUCGGAUUAGCUAGUUGGUGAGGUAACGGCUCACCAAGGCGACGAUCCGUAGCUGGUUUGAGAGGACGACCAGCCACACUGGGACUGAGACACGGCCCAGACUCCUACGGGAGGCAGCAGUGGGGAAUUUUGGACAAUGGGGGCAACCCUGAUCCAGCCAUCCCGCGUGUGCGAUGAAGGCCUUCGGGUUGUAAAGCACUUUUGGCAGGAAAGAAACGUCGCGGGCUAAUACCCCGUGGAACUGACGGUACCUGCAGAAUAAGCACCGGCUAACUACGUG
rnacentral:rRNA from 1 species